rnacentral:rRNA from 1 species
UGAGGAAUAUUGGGCAAUGCCCGCAAGGGUGACCCAGCAACGCCGCGUGGAGGAUGAAUGCCGUAAGGUUGUAAACUCCUUUUGAAGAGGACGAAAAUUUUUGAUCGACUCAUAAAUUGACUGUACUCUUAGAAGAAGCCCCGGCUAACUACGUGCCAGCAGCCGCGGUAAUACGUAGGGGGCAAGCGUUGUCCGGAUUCACUGGGUGUAAAGGGCGCGUAGGUGGAUUUGUAAGUCAGAGGUGAAAUCCUGCAGCUUAACUGUAGAACUGCCUCUGAUACUGUUAAUCUUGAGUUCAGAAGAGAGAAGCGGAAUUCCAGGUGUAGUAGUGAAAUACGUAGAUAUCUGGAAGAACACCAGUGGCGAAGGCGGCUUCUUGGUCUGUAACUGACACUGAGGCGCGAAAGCGUGGGGAGCAAACA